CGGUCUCAGGAUCGCCACCCGUCAGCGAGUUUCGCCCACGGGUGAUUUUGUC
rnacentral:sRNA from 1 species